AUCCAGGUGACGAGUCCAAAAUAGGACGAAAUGCGUGUCUUGGAU
rnacentral:hammerhead_ribozyme from 1 species